UAUUGGUCAAUGGGCGAGAGCCUGAACCAGCCAAGUAGCGUGAAGGAUGACUGCCCUAUGGGUUGUAAACUUCUUUUAUAAAGGACUAAAGUCGGGUAUGGAUACCCGUUUGCAUGUACUUUAUGAAUAAGGAUCGGCUAACUCCGUGCCAGCAGCCGCGGUAAUACGGAGGAUCCGAGCGUUAUCCGGAUUUAUUGGGUUUAAAGGGAGCGUAGAUGGAUGUUUAAGUCAGUUGUGAAAGUUUGCGGCUCAACCGUAAAAUUGCAGUUGAUACUGGAUAUCUUGAGUGCAGUUGAGGCAGGCGGAAUUCGUGGUGUAGCGGUGAAAUGCUUAGAUAUCACGAAGAACUCCGAUUGCGAAGGCAGCCUGCUAAGCUGCAACUGACAUUGAGGCUCGAAAGUGUGGGUAUCAAACAGGA
rnacentral:rRNA from 1 species